rnacentral:rRNA from 1 species
GACGAACGCUGGCGGCGUGCCUAAUACAUGCAAGUCGAACGCUGAAGGAGGAGCUUGCUUCUCUGGAUGAGUUGCGAACGGGUGAGUAACGCGUAGGUAACCUGCCUGGUAGCGGGGGAUAACUAUUGGAAACGAUAGCUAAUACCGCAUAAGAGUAGAUGUUGCAUGACAUUUGCUUAAAAGGUGCAAUUGCAUCACUACCAGAUGGACCUGCGUUGUAUUAGCUAGUUGGUGGGGUAACGGCUCACCAAGGCGACGAUACAUAGCCGACCUGAGAGGGGGCUCGGCCACACUGGGACUGAGACACGGCCCAGACUCCUACGGGAGGCAGCAGUAGGGAAUCUUCGGCAAUGGACGGAAGUCUGACCGAGCAACGCCGCGUGAGUGAAGAAGGUUUUCGGAUCGUAAAGCUCUGUUGUAAGAGAAGAACGAGUGUGAGAGUGGAAAGUUCACACUGUGACGGUAGCUUACCAGAAAGGGACGGCUAACUACGUG